ensembl:lncRNA
AUUAGGGAGAACGUAGGAAACACUGAAACAGUGAUUCGAUGACGAGACGGCGGGCGGAGACACAACAAAAAUUUAAACUCGAACUAAAGCACAUGGCCUUUGUUGUCUUAAGAGACACCGAGUAAUUGUAAAGUCCUCAAGAUGAUUACGAUCCUCUUAUCCGUAGCUCUUCCUGUGGGUGGGCAACGAAGCUAACGAAGUGGAGAAGACCGGCGCUCCAAAAAUCGCUAAAGAGUACCUGGACACAGACCCGUCCGGCCGGCGUGGUAUCCCCAUCACCACCAUUAAACAAGGCACCGAGCCUCCGACCUUCACAGGCUGGUUCCAGGGCUGGGACGCCAAAAUGUGGGACACCGACCCCCUGGAUAGAAUCCGCGCUCGCUUUUAAUUCUUCAUCAUGCUCUCAUCCUCUAACUGCUGCUUGCACUUAGCAGGCCCGAUGCACAAACAGCCGAUUCGACAUAUUUCCCUUUAACUUGACUAUCGUUACCGUAUCAUACAUGCCGACGUGCCGUAUGGAAAGUUCCAGAGACGGGUCAGCUGACGUGUACGAUACAGAACGCACUUUCUCUAAUGAGUUAGAAUGCCCAGGAAAUUCAAACUGGUGUUUUAAACCUUUAUCGACCACAGCGAACGUGGCAGAACUUUCCAUUACAAACAGUUACGUAAUAUUAACGAUUAACGAUGUGAUCUAGUCACCCAGGACAUUUACGUCCGAUCGAGGGCGCUUAACGUCCUGCGUUUAGAUUUAAAAACGAAAUUCUGCCGAUUAUCAAUAAACUUGAACUAUUUAGAGCGAGUGUUCGGAUUUGGGUCGGGUGCGUGUUAUUUUAAAUGCUGUUGGUUGGGGGAAAAUUCCGUUUUUAAAGGACGCCAGUCAUCAAAUCACCAUCCUCGGUCCAUUUCUCGAGUAAUUAUUAAAUUAGUGUGAAGACCGGCAUCGUGACCUGAGUGCCAAAACAAAAUUAAAAAAAUUAAACAUAGAAGGUUUUUUUUGUUGUUGUUGUUGUUGUUGCCAUUUUUCUCUGAUAUAUUAAAGCAUUUAUCACGACUGAUCCUCUCCGACAAACGGAUUGCGAUUGGUCGAUUCGUGGAGUCCGGUAAAUCAUGUCCGAAAUGUUUUAGGAUAUUAAACAGUAAAUCAGACUUGGGAGUGUUUCCAAUCUCCGUAUCUAUUCUGCCUCUCUGUCUCUUUCUUUCUCGUUCUAUUACUUCCUGUUUGACCCCAGGUGCGUACGGAACUGCGUUCUGUCAUAUGAAAUGAUAUUUUUAAAAAAUACUGUUUUUGAUGUUUCUGGCUUGAAUAAAAAAUUCUCCAAUUUUAAAUAGAAUUGUUUUGUUUUUUUUACGAUGCUCAGGAUGACGCUCUGGUUCGGUUACUUUACUAAAGUGUAUUCAUGCAACUAAUACGACUACUGACUAGCUUUCAGUUCUCGUUCUCGUUUACGCUCCAGCAGGUAUAAACGAUCUUUCCUUCGCCAGCCUCUCUCUUAUCCAGUCCCUGUGACUGAGCUGUUGCUAUAGAAACGAUAACGUAUUAUAAAAUUAGAUCCUUCACAUUUGGAGGUCCACGCUGGUGG